rnacentral:lncRNA from 1 species
UGGAUGGCACGCGUGAAUGCGCCUUUAUAAAGAGGAGCCAGUGAAUUGAUAUAAUCGCUCGACCGCGUUGUUGUCGCCUGAAAAGGAUUCGAGCCUUCCGGGAGUGUUAACAAACGGAGGAGGAAAAAAGUAGAAGAAGAAGAA